GUGUGUGUGUGUGUGUGUGUGUGUGUGUGUGUGUGUGUGUGUGUGUGUGUGUGUGUGUGUGUGUGUGUGUGUGCAGUAGGCUUGGUGUGUCAGGGAUGACCGGUGAGUGACUGACGGCACGACGGGCAGGACAGUACAGGGGAUCACCGAUGUGCCUUCGCAGUGUUGCCAUGGUUUCCGUUUGCUCUGCCGCAACCGUGUACGGCCUCACUUUUUCCAAGAUUCACAAGUCACACAAGUGUUCACGUUUUUUGAGCCCUGCUCGGAAUAGCAUAAGAUCAUGACAAUACAGAAGAUGUAUACUGUUGGUUAGUUACGUUUAUUUGUUGCGCACACACCCCAUGUGGUCUACACUUUAUGAUAAGAAAACAAGCACAAACGUUUGCAGAUUUUUAUUUUUUUUUCCUGCGAAUACCAUCGAUUUAAUCAAAUCCGCUUUCCGGACUGCUGGAGCCUAGCAAUGAGAAAAAAAAAAAGAUGUUGGAUGUUUGAAAUUGAGCCUAUAAAAAGAAUGACAGAUUUUGUUUAGUGUGUUUGGCCGAACUGAAGGAGGCUAGAGUUAUUUGACGUUUUUAUGAUUGAAUCGUGUUUUCUCCAAACGACAUUCUAUCUGCACUUAAAUUAUUAUAAUAUUGGUUUUGGAAGAACCAGCCCUGGCUACCAGUAAGGUGCGGACGAUUAGAAUCAAUCCUUCAAAAAGUCAAAACGAUUGGAAUUUCUCAGAAGUUCACGUUUUUGUUGUUUCGCCACUCCCAGAAUUCCAUGCAGUUAGACUAACGUGAACUUGAAGCUUAUGAACAGAAUGAACCAACUGGAAGACUUCCACUUAAAGCCAAAAUACUGGGACCAAAGAAGCUUUGGCUGGUUAGAUUGUGCAAAACUUGCCUUCUCAUAGUUUAAAGUCUGUCAAGAUCAAGAAUACAAUGCUUCGAAUUACAAUUAUGUACAUCAAGUAUUUGAUAUUUGUGUCUCAUUGUAUUAGAAACCUUGCCUUAGUGCCUGAUGCUAUCGUUGAAGCACAACAUGUAAUGUUUACGUCAGUAAGGGUUUUACUGUACGGGGGUGUCGGCUUGGAACUAAAUCCGUGUGAACCACAAGUUGUUGAAUGUGUAGACGCCAUUGGUUAGGAUUUGACGUGAAGAAGGGUGACCCUGUUACUGUUACAUUCCUGUCUUUCCUGGUGAGCUUUGAGGAGAACCAAGGCAAAUGACUUUAGUGAGGAGAAGGGGGUCAUGUGGGAACUGCAGGCUCUGCAGAGCUGGGUUUGGAGUGAUUCAAAGAAUAUUGAAUGUUCCCUAUAAGGGAAAAUAUAAAACACACUAUACAAUCUGAGGUGAAUGGUUUGUCAUAACAUAAUUAAUUUAUAUUCACAUAUGAAUGCUGGCACAUUUAGCUAUACUCACCAACUUGUUUUUGUUCAUUUAUUAGAAAUGUUGAAUUCUAACUAUUGGGCCUUCGUUAUUUCUCUAAGACAAUAUCUUUCAAUGUGUGCUGAUAUAUUCAUAUACAAGUUUGUUGUUUUUGUAGUGUCAAAGGUUACAGACUAAAUGUUUAUGCUCCUUCUGCCCCAUCAAGGGGCUUCUCUCCCUGUCGGUCAUGUGACUUUUGACCCUCACUCUAUUCAGAAAAUGAACUUGUCAAACGUGCACUUCAAAUUAGUUUAGUCGCCAAAUAUGCCUUGUUCAAACUGGUGACAAACUUGCAAGAUUUUGUAUCAAACAAAACAUUUCAGGUGUAGAAAACACAUUUCAAAAAUCACAUGCUUUUCAUGUCAAUCAGUCCAUGCCUGUCUGACUCUAACUCCUGUCAUGAAUUAGCCUGAUUAUGCCCCUUUUUGAUCAAGUAUUCGACCUAGAGAUAGUUGUCAUCAGCAAAAGAGAUGGAUUCAUUCACAGAUGGCUGGGAGUAAACCGUUCUAAACAGGAACGAUCAACGACAAUAAAUCCCCCAGCGAGGCCCAAGUCUCGCAUCAAGGGAACUCCUACAACUAGUGCCCUCAUGUUUCUCCGCACUAUGCAAUUUUUUACAAUGUUUUAAAUGCAAAGCACUGACUACAUCCGCCUGUGUUCCGUACGCUCCGUCCUAAUUUACGUUUGGUUUAGGAAAGAAAAGCGAUCAAGUCUUGGGUCAAUACAUGUUAAAUUGUUCUUCCUACAGAUUUAGGACAGGCGACCCAGCAUUCUGUGUGGUUUAAAGAAAAUGGCCGUGGUCGAGCAUAUGUAUUCGGCUGCAGCAGUACGUUCCGUUGGACGGCCGAAUCAUGUACCGUUACGAGCGCUUGCUGCAGAUAUCCUGGAGUCUGCACACACGUGCGGCUUGGUUUUUAUAUUGUACAAUCACAUUUGCCGUAAAUGUUUUUGUUUUUUUUAACAAUUCAAAAUUUUGUCCACCUUGUUAUUUUAUAUACAUAUAAUGUUCAUCUCAUCCAGUUUAAUGUACUAUGGACCUGGUUUAUUUAGUUGGUUUAUAAUGUAUUUCAGACAAGUUCCCAAAAUAAAAAAAAACUCCAAAUGUUUGUUUGAUAAAGAACGUGGAUGGUUAGUAUUGUUUUUUGUAAAAUAAAACCAUGAAACAUUACAAAACGAAGUGAUCCUUCUGCUCUUCUAGAAACUGACUUCUCAAACUUAUCUUAAAG
ensembl:lncRNA